rnacentral:rRNA from 1 species
UCCCGGGAACGUAUUCACCGCGCCGUGGCUGAUGCGCGAUUACUAGCGAAUCCAGCUUCACGAAGUCGAGUUGCAGACUUCGAUCCGAACUGAGAAUGGUUUUUGAGAUUAGCAUCACAUUGCUGUGUAGCUGCCCUUUGUACCACCCAUUGUAACACGUGUGUCGCCCCGGACGUAAGGGCCGUGCUGAUUUGACGUCAUCCCCACCUUCCUCACAUCUUACGAUGGCAGUCUCAUUAGAGUCCCCAGCUUAACCUGAUGGUAACUAAUGAUGAGGGUUGCGCUCGUUAUGGCACUUAAGCCGACAUCUCACGACACGAGCUGACGACA